AGAGAGAGAGAGAAAGAGAGAGAGAGAGGAAAUAGAGAAAGACAUUGAAUACCGAACACAUGAGCUUCAACACUGGAGAGGGAUGAAAGAAAUACCCAAGAGGGUAGUAAAUGGUGUCUCAGAUGGACAGCUGUGUAUAUGGCACAGAGGACAACCAGCCCAGAUGAGAGCAGAGUGCCUCAAAAGGUAGAUAUGUUCAGAGCUGUCAUCACCAAGAUCCCCACUGCUAUUGAUUCUUUCGGGGAGCGGUGCCUGAAGACAGAAUUCCUGGAAGUGCUCUGCUAUGAUCUGCUUCAGAAGCUGAAGGUGGGCCGUGAGGAGGCAGCAAAUCCAGAGCAAUCCACACUCCGGACCAUAUUUCUCCCGGAUACUGAGUACCUGGCCCCCACUAGAGCCCUACCAGAUGCCCAACUCUGAUGAGCCCUGUGUUUCCCAACUCAUGACCUUGUUUGCCUACUCCCCCAGAAGGGACUCUUGUAAGCUCUUGGGGAAACUGAAACCAGACUGACCCAGAGACCCCGUCUACCUUCUCUCUCUCCUGGACACUUUCAUCAAACAGGAGAAAGUCGCCCUUUCAUUCUCAGCUGGAUUUGUGCUCCUGCCCCAUACACACGGUUUAGUAAUAAUACACACCUAGUGGUAAAACUGUGAAGAAAACCAAGAGCGAUGAGCACAAACGUUAAGACAAGGCCACCUCUGGGGAGGAGGCUGGAGGUUUUAUUUACAGAGGAGCCCUUGGAGGGUGUCUAAGGUCCUGGUGAGUGCUCUACUCUUUAAUUUUUAUGAUAGGUACAUAGGUGCUAACUGUACUGUAUUUUCAACUCUAUGUAUAUUUAAAAUACUCUUCUAGCCCUGA